AAGACUCUCCAAACCAUACAGAAAAGCCUUGCCACAACUCCCCUCCUCAACAAUUCCCCAAUAAUUUUCCCCAAUCUCAGUUUACCCAAAGCUUCAACCCACAUUUUUUACAUAAUUUCUAUCCAUUUCAUUCCCCAAGCAACUAUCCACCAUAUGGUCAUUCUCCUCCAAGCUAUCAAGAGCCACUGCCAACAGUUCUUCCCAUGGGUCGGAGUCAUCGACUCCCUGCCCUGCAAGAAAACAAGAGGCGCCAGUUAA
rnacentral:lncRNA from 1 species